GCAGCAGUAAGGAAUAUUGCGCAAUGGGCGAAAGCCUGACGCAGCGACGCCGCGUGGGGGAUGAAGGUCUUCGGAUUGUAAACCCCUUUCGGGAGGGAAGAUGGAAUGGGGUAACCCAUUCGGACGGUACCUCCAGAAGCAGCCACGGCUAACUUCGUGCCAGCAGCCGCGGUAAUACGAAGGUGGCAAGCGUUAUUCGGAUUUACUGGGCGUACAGGGAGCGUAGGCGGUUCGGUAAGCCCUUUGUGAAAUCUCCAGGCUUAACCUGGAAAAGUCGGAGGGGACUGCCGGGCUAGAGGACGGGAGAGGAGCGCGGAAUUCCCGGUGUAGCGGUGAAAUGCGUAGAGAUCGGGAGGAAGGCCGGUGGCGAAGGCGGCGCUCUGGAACGUUUCUGACGCUGAGGCUCGAAAGCGUGGGGAGCAAACAGGAUUAGAUAC
rnacentral:rRNA from 1 species